UUUAAUGUGUCUCAGGAAUAAGGAAGGUGCAAUCACUAUGAUGGUGUUAUACUCUUGGCCUCCCAGUGACCAGCAGGAGAUAAGGGAACAGAUAAGAACAGAUUAUGGAAAGCUGUAAAAACAACAAAUUGGUUGGAGUGAGUGAUUUUAACUUCCCCAAUAUUGCCUGGGACUCCCCUGG